rnacentral:lncRNA from 1 species
UGCACUUUCUGAAAUUGCAAUAUAGGUCCCGUUUCCAACCAAUUCUGUCCGUUUUCACAGAAAAACCCUAAAGAAAAUCCAAUUUACUUUAAUAUCAAAAUUCAAAGCAAUAUAGAAGUUUGCAGUCUGACCCCAGUCCAAUUUACAAAUAGAGCCCCCAAAUUAUGCAAAUUGUUGAAGGGGCCUCCUGUUAAAAUUGCAAGUUUAACCCUACUCCCUUAAUUGCAGAUAGGGGCCUCUAAUCUCACAAAUUGUAAGAGAGGCCCCCGUCCCCAAAAAAUACCACUGCUGACUGAGACGCCCUAAAUCCACACCCAAUUCUUCUCCCACAGGAGCUGCUUUUCGAUCUUCGCUGUCGGCCGAAAUAAAACCUUAAAUCCACCAUAUAUUUCUCCUCCAACAGCAUCAAUUCUCAAUUUCACAACAAGAAAAAUAUGUAAACAUAGAACAAUCAUAUUAUACAACACAUAAAAUCAAUUCACAAAUGCCGAAGCCAUGUACUGCUUCUGAAAUUUUGCAAGGUUUUAGAGGCCUUUUGGUGUAUUGAAUUUUGGGAUUGCUUUUGUAUAUUCUAGCCAACAGUGCCGCCGACGGACAGAGAUUUUCAAAAUUGUAUGGUUACAGUUUGAGUUUGAGAAAUUUAACAAAACCAGGCACAUAUACCAUAUUAGAGAGAAAAGUUGACCAUGAUUUGCAGGAGGCAAAUCAGCAGAGAAAACCAAGAGCUGGGUUUGCAGAUUUAGUGCUGAAAACGGGUGUCUGCAAUUGGGAAUUGGGUUUCUUCACAGCCAAGCCUUUUUAAUUUAAC